rnacentral:rRNA from 1 species
AACGAACGCUGGCGGCAUGCCUAACACAUGCAAGUCGAACGAAACCUUCGGGUCUAGUGGCGCACGGGGGCGUAACGCGUGGGAACCUGCCCUUAGGCCCGGAAUAACUCCCCGAAAGGGGUGCUAAUACCGGAUAAUGUCUUCCGACCAAAGAUUUAUCGCCUUUGGAUGGGCCCGAGUUGGCUUAGCUUGUUGGUAGGGUAAAAGCCUACCAAGGCGACGAUCCAUAGCUGGUUUGAGAGGAGGCUCAGCCACACUGGGACUGAGACACGGCCCAGACUCUUACGGGAGGCAGCAGUGGGUAAUAUUGGACAGUGGGCGAAAGCCUGAUCCAGCAAUGCCGCGUGAGUGAUGAAGGCCUUAGGGUUGUAAAGCUCUUUUACCCGGGAUGAUAAUGACAGUACCGGGAGAAUAAGCUCCGGCUAACUCCGUG